AAUCAACGCUGGCGGCGUGCCUCAGACAUGCAAGUCGAACGCGAAAGUUCCCUUCGGGGAGCGAGUAGAGUGGCGUACGGGUGAGUAACACGUAGGUAAUCUACCUUUGGGUGGGGAAUAACAGCCGGAAACGGCUGCUAAUACCGCAUAAUGCAGCGGCUCGACAUCGAGACAGUUGUUAAAGCGGGGGAUCGCAAGACCUCGCGCCUAAAGAGGAGCCUGCGGCGGAUUAGCUAGUUGGUGAGGUAAUGGCUCACCAAGGCAUCGAUCCGUAGCCGGCCUGAGAGGGCGGUCGGCCACACUGACACUGACAUACGGGUCAGACUCCUACGGGAGGCAGCAGUCGGGAA
rnacentral:rRNA from 1 species